AAGCACUGCGAGCCCAGCCUGGGUGCUGAGGUUGUUGGCCUUGCUGCUCCAUCAGGCUUUGGGGAGCUGCUUGUACAGUGAAGUAUUCAGUCAUGCCUGCAGUUUCCAGAGGAGCACACAGCUAAGGAAGAGGAAGAGCUGUGAGGAUGACAAGCUGUGGGAAGUCCAAGUGUACAGGAAAAGAGUAUGGGCCUGGAAUGUCCUUAUGAUCUCUUCAUUGAGAAGGCCAACUGGGAUGGCUUGCAGAGGAGGAUCCUGACUGUGGUGCAAAGAGUUGCAUUGCAGCACUUACAGCAC